rnacentral:lncRNA from 1 species
AUAAAUUGUGGAAUGUAUUCUAUAAUUGCCAAUGAAAAUAAAAUAUUGUUAAUUACAUUCAAAAUGGAUCGGAUUGAUGCUUGACUUUACAAUUGAAUCAGCGGCUAAAGGAAGUAAACUGGAGAAUUGGCACUGAAAAAUGUGUAUUCUGGUUAAAGAGGCUGCCACAUCAUCGGGUCAACUAAAGUCCUGGCCUCCGUUAUACUAUUGGUCCACUACAGCCUCCGACAUUAUAAAAUUGAUGCAAAAAUAUCCCUCUGCCGCUAGUACCCUCCACCUCGACAAUAUUAUCCCAUGGCAUACCACCUCAUCACACUUAUCCCAUUUUACCCCUCCACUACUUCUUCUUCUUCCACCACCACCUCCCUCUUCAUCCAACUACAACCAACAUCACCUUCUGCUUUACCGCACACCUAUUCGUUCACUAGUAUCAGACCACUAGUCUUGACCCCAUUUAAUCUCUAUUUUUUCACCAAAAAUCAAACUGAAUCAAAACUUUGAUUUUUGGGUUUCAUUUUCCAAUUUGAUUUUAGAUUUUGGUUUAAAAUAAG